rnacentral:rRNA from 1 species
UGGGGAAUAUUGGACAAUGGGCGAAAGCCUGAUCCAGCAAUGCCGCGUGAGUGAUGAAGGCCUUAGGGUUGUAAAGCUCUUUUACCCGGGAUGAUAAUGACAGUACCGGGAGAAUAAGCCCCGGCUAACUCUGUGCCAGCCGCCGCGGUAAUACAGAGGGUGCAAGCGUUGUCCGGAAUCACUGGGCGUAAAGGGCGCGUAGGUGGCUGUGUAAGUCGGGGGUGAAAUGCUGCGGCUCAACCGCAGCGCUGCCUCCGAGACUGCACGGCUUGAGCACGGUAGAGGCCGAUGGAAUUCCCGGUGUAGCGGUGGAAUGCGUAGAGAUCGGGAAGAACACCGAUGGCGAAGGCAGUCGGCUGGGCCGUUGCUGACACUGAGGCGCGACAGCGUGGGGAGCAAA